rnacentral:lncRNA from 1 species
GAAGAAAUUUGGGCAAGUUAUGACCCAAAAAAACACAAGGCUUCCACAUAAAGGACUCAUGCAGCGUCGAAACCAACCAAUAAAAGUAAAACUUUAUCACCCUCGUCUUCUCCUAAGGUUAGAACUACAAGAAGUAGAGUUAGGGAGAGUGAAGCAGAAUUGCAGAAAACUCUAGAGGAGAGUAAGAAAAAGAGAAAAGAAAAGGGGAAAGCAAAAAUAGGUGAAAGUUCUGAGGUUGUUGUUGAAGAGGAGUUGGAAGAGAUAGAAGUGGUCCAUCAAGAGAGGGGUACUACUGUGGAAGUUUCCACUGCCAAAUCAAAAUGAACCAGGUCUUCUGCAAAGAAGCCCUCCAAAAAUGUAACUGCUGAAGUCUCUCUAGCAAAAAGAACUAGGUCGGCUAAAAAGGGUAAAUAAGUGAAGAUAAAUGAAGAAGAGAAUGAUGAAUGGAGUGGAGAAGAAGGAGAAGAUGAGUCUGAACAGGAACAAGAUAGGUAUGCCA